rnacentral:misc_RNA from 1 species
AAAAGUCGUAACAAGGUUUCCGUAGGUGAACCUGCGGAAGGAUCAUUACAAAUCCACGAGUGUCACCCUCACCGGUCGACGCGCGCUCAAACAACGUUGAACCCCUCCCCCUCGGUGCGCAAGCACCUCGAGGACACUAUUUGACCCCCUUUGUCGACACCAAAUACCACGAAUGUACCAACAACAACAACAACCUAGAAAAAACUUAUAACAAUGGAUCUCUAGGCUCUU